AUAAGCUUCGGUGGUACAUAUACUAAAAUUGGAACGAUACAGAGAAGAUUAGCAUGGCCCUCGUGCAAGGAUGACACGCAAAAUCGUGAAGCGUUCAAUAUUUUC
rnacentral:snRNA from 1 species